CGUUCUUCUCUCUUUCAACACACAAGUCAGCAACCGUCUUCUCUCUCUGACAGCUCUUUGUUGGUGUUUCCAAUGCGUCGCUUUUGAAUGAUCCGAUUGAGGAGUGAAUUAUCUCUUCUUCGCUUUCGCGAAUACUUCAUUUCCCUAGGGAGAAUAUGGCUAUGGAAGUCACCCAAGUUCUUCUGAGUGCACAAGCCUUUGAUUCAACAGUAAGGAAACAUGCAGAAGAAACCUUGAAACAGUUUCAGGAGCAAAAUCUUCAUGUGUUUUUAUUAUCACUUUCUGGAGAGCUUGCUAGUGAGGAGAAGCCUGUUGAAAGCCGUAAACUAGCAGGUUUAAUUCUUAAAAAUGCAUUGGAUGCAAAGGAACAGCAAAGGAAGUAUGAACUUGUGCAAAGAUGGCUAUCACUGGACAUGGCUGUGAAGAGCCAGAUCAGGGCAUUCUUGUUACAGACGCUCUCCUCUAAUUCACCUGAAGCCAGGUCAACGGCAUCACAAGUCAUUGCAAAGGUUGCAGGCAUCGAACUGCCUCAGAAGCAAUGGCCUGAGCUCAUAGGUUCCCUCUUGUCCAAUGUUCACCAGGUUCCUCCUCGUGUUAAGCAAGCUACCCUUGAAACACUUGGAUACAUGUGUGAAGAAAUUGUUCCAGACGUUAUUGACCAAGAUCAAGUGAAUAAGAUACUUACUGCAUUGGUUCAAGGCAUGAAUGCAAAUGAUGGUAGUACGGAAGUCCGGCUUGCUGCCACUAGAGCUUUAUAUAAUGCUCUCGGAUUUUCCCAAGUUAAUUUUUCUAAUGAUAUGGAACGUGAUUACAUUAUGAGAGUUGUUUGUGAGGCCACACACUCAACAGAGGUUAAAAUUCGGCAGGCUGCAUAUGAGUGUUUGGUUUCUAUUGGGUCAACAUACUACGAUAAAUUAGCUCCAUAUAUUCAAGUUAUUUUCAACAUCACAUCAAAAGCUGUCAGAGAAGAUGAGGAACCGGUGGCUCUCCAGGCAAUUGAAUUUUGGAGCUCAAUUUGUGACGAGGAAAUUGAUCUUUUGGAUGAGUAUGGAGGUGAGGUUACAUCAGAUUCUGACGUUCCUUGCUAUUAUUUUAUAAAGCAGGCAAUACCUGCGCUUGUUCCAAUGUUAUUGGAGACACUUCUUAAGCAAGAAGAAGAUCAAGAUCAGGAUGAAGGCUUUUGGAAUAUUUCAAUGGCUGGUGGAACAUGCCUUGGUUUGGUGGCCCGAACAGUUGGUGAUGACAUUGUACCGCUUGUAAUGCCGUUCAUUGAAGAAAACAUUACUAAAGCUGAUUGGAGGCAUAGAGAAGCUGCCACCUAUGCAUUUGGUUCAAUAUUGGAAGGUCCUUCACCUGACAAACUAACCCCUAUUGUGAAUGUUGCUCAAAAUUUCAUGCUCACUGCUUUGACUAAAGAUCCAAAUAGCCAUGUAAAGGAUACAACUGCUUGGACCCUGGGUCGAAUAUUUGAGUAUCUCCAUGGCUCAAUUGCAGGGACACCCAUUAUUACACCAGAAAACUGCCAGCAGAUAAUCACCGUUCUCCUUCAGAGUAUGAAAGAUGCUCCUAAUGUGGCUGAGAAAGCUUGUGGUGCUCUCUAUUUUCUAGCCCAAGGAUUUGAGGAUGUGGGCGCAACAUCACCUUUGACACCUUAUUUACAAGAAAUCAUCCAGUCCCUUCUAAAUGUCAGUCACAGAGAGGAUGCUGAGAAAUCACGACUUCGGACAGCUGCCUAUGAGACUUUAAAUGAGGUAGUGAGGUGUUCCACUGAUGAAACAGCCCGCUUAGUAGUGGAACUUGUUCAAGUCAUCAUGACUGAACUUCACAACAGUCUUGAAGCACAGAUAUUUUCAUCUGACGCGAGAGGAAAACAGAACGAUUUGCAUGGCCUUCUUUGUGGGUGCUUACAAGUCAUAAUCCAAAAAUUGGGGGCUUUCAAAACCACUAAAUAUGACUUGAUGCAAUGCGCCGAUCAGAUUAUGAAUCUUUUCCUACGAGUAUUCGCAUGUAGAAGUGCCACUGUCCAUGAGGAAGCAAUGCUUGCCAUAGGUGCUCUUGCCUACGUGUCUGGUCCUAGCUUUGCAAAGUACAUGCCAGACUUUUACAAGGACCUAGAGAUGGGACUUCAGAAUUUUGAGGAGUACCAAGUCUGUGCUGUCACUGUUGGCGUUGUGGGGGAUAUCUGCAGGGCGUUGGAGGAUAAGAUUCUGCCUUACUGUGAUGGAAUGAUGACUCUGCUUCUCAAAGAUUUGUCAAGCAACCAGUUGCAUCGGUCUGUGAAACCUCCAAUCUUUUCUUGCUUUGGAGACAUAGCACUAGCUAUUGGAGAAAAUUUCGAGAAAUAUUUGAUGUAUACGAUGCCAAUGCUACAGAGUGCUGCAGAAUUGUCUGUUCACGCAUCAGGUGUUGAUGAUGAAAUUAUAGAGUAUACUAAUCUUCUAAGGAAUGGGAUUUUAGAGGCAUAUUCUGGGAUACUUCAGGGUUUCAAGAACUCUCCGAAAACCCAACUCCUAAUUCCGUACUCUCCUCAUAUCCUGCAAUUCCUGGAUAGCUUGUAUCUUGAACAAGAUAUGGAUGAUAUUGUGAUUAAAGCUGCUAUUGGUGUCCUUGGAGAUCUAGCAGAUACUCUGGGAAGUACUGCUGGUACUCUUAUUCAGCAAUCUCUGUCAAGCAAAGACUUUCUAAAUGAAUGCUUAUCUUCCGAUGACCAUUUGAUUAAAGAAGCUGCUGAGUGGGCCAGGCUGGCCAUUAGUCGUGCUAUAUCCGUUUGAGGUGGUGUUCACUUGGUUCAUAUUGCCUACCUGCAUUCAUAUGGUCGUGUCAGAUAAGGUCAAAAGUUAGACAAUCAGAGAAUUCCAUUUGCAUUUUCAGAUUUCACACGGGUGAUCUUGUCAAAAUGAUGUCUUCGAACUUGCUCGUUGCUCUUCUGCUCAUACAGGUACAGGCUUCAUUCUCGUCAAAGUCGAAUGGGAAAUGCUUUUUUGUCUCUUGCUUAUCUCCUAGGCGUCAUAGCAAUACAUAGGAGUAUAACAUUAUCUAUAUUCUAUAUAUGGUAAAUGGAGUAUGAUUUUCCCCUUGUGUAGUGUUAGAACUUCUCUUUGUAAAGCUUGUGAAUGAUCCAAAAUUGUCAAGUUUAAUUUCUGAAUUUGUUGAAACUCUUGAGUUUAA